rnacentral:rRNA from 1 species
AACGCGAAGAACCUUACCUGGUCUUGACAUCCACAGAACUUUCCAGAGAUGGAUUGGUGCCUUCGGGAACUGUGAGACAGGUGCUGCAUGGCUGUCGUCAGUUCGUGCUGUGAAAUGUUGGGUUAAGUCCCGCAACGAGCGCAACCCUUAUCUUUUGUUGCCAGCGGUCCGGCCGGGAACUCAAAGGAGACUGCCAGUGAUAAACUGGAGGAAGGUGGGGAUGACGUCAAGUCAUCAUGGCCCUUACGACCAGGGCUACACACGUGCUACAAUGGCGCAUACAAAGAGAAGCGACCUCGCGAGAGCAAGCGGACCUCAUAAAGUGCGUCGUAGUCCGGAUUGGAGUCUGCAACUCGACUCCAUGAAGUCGGAAUCGCUAGUAAUCGUGGAUCAGAAUGCCACGGUGAAUACGUUCCCGGGUCUUGUACACACGC